AUUGAACGCUGGCGGCAUGCUUUACACAUGCAAGUCGAACGGUAACAGGGAGCUUGCUCCGCUGACGAGUGGCGAACGGGUGAGUAAUGCGUCGGAACGUGCCGAGUAGUGGGGGAUAACGCAGCGAAAGUUGUGCUAAUACCGCAUACGUACUGAGGUAGAAAGUGGGGGACCUUCGGGCCUCACGCUAUUCGAGCGGCCGCCGUCUGAGUAGCUAGUAGGUGAGGUAAAGGCUCACCUAGGCGACGAUCAGUAGCGGGUCAGAGAGGAUGAUCCGCCACACGGGGACUGAGACACGGCCCAGACUCCUACGGGAGGAAGCAGUGGGGAAUUUUGGACAAUGGGCGAAAGCCUGAUCCAGCCAUGCCGCGUGUCUGAAGAAGGCCUUCGGGUUGUAAAGGACUUUUGUCGGGGAGGAAAUCCCCAGCGCUAAUACCGCUGGGGGAUGACAGUACCUGAAGAAUAAGCACCGGCUAACUACGUGCCAGCCGCCGCCGUAAGAC
rnacentral:rRNA from 1 species